rnacentral:rRNA from 1 species
AGCUCUCUGCGAAGCCGUAAGGCGAAGUAUAGGGGGUGACACCUGCCCGGUGCUGGAAGGUUAAGGAGAGGGUUAGCGUAAGCGAAGCUCUGAACUGAAGCCCCAGUAAACGGCGGCCGUAACUAUAACGGUCCUAAGGUAGCGAAAUUCCUUGUCGGGUAAGUUCCGACCCGCACGAAAGGUGUAACGAUUUGGGCACUGUCUCAACCAGAGACUCGGUGAAAUUAUAGUACCUGUGAAGAUGCAGGUUACCCGCGACAGGACGGAAAGACCCCGUGGAGCUUUACUGUAGCCUGAUAUUGAAUUUUGGUACAGUUUGUACAGGAUAGGCGGGAGCCUUUGAAGCCGGAGCGCUAGCUUCGGUGGAGGUGCUGGUGGGAUACCGCCCUGACUGUAUUGAAAUUCUAACCUACGGGUCUUAUCGACCCGGGAGACAGUGUCAGGUGGGCAGUUUGACUGGGGCGGUCGCCUCCUAAAGUGUAACGGAGGCGCCCAAAGGUUCCCUCAGAAUGGUUGGAAAUCAUUCGUAGAGUGCAAAGGCAUAAGGGAGCUUGACUGCGAGACCUACAAGUCGAGCAGGGACGAAAGUCGGGCUUAGUGAUCCGGUGGUUCCGCAUGGAAGGGCCAUCGCUCAACGGAUAAAAGCUACCCCGGGGAUAACAGGCUUAUCUCCCCAAGAGUCCACAUCGACGGGGAGGUUUGGCACCUCGAUGUCGGCUCAUCGCAUCCUGGGGCUGUAGUCGGUCCCAAGGGUUGGGCUGUUCGCCCAUUAAAGCGGUACGCGAGCUGGGUUCAGAACGUCGUGAGACAGUUCGGUCCCUAUCCGUCGUGGGCGUAGGAAAUUUGAGAGGAGCUGUCCUUAGUACGAGAGGACCGGGAUGGACGCACCGCUGGUGUACCAGUUGUUCUGCCAAGGGCAUAGCUGGGUAGCUAUGUGCGGAAGGGAUAAGUGCUGAAAGCAUCUAAGCAUGAAGCCCCUCAAGAUGAGAUUUCCCAUAGCGUAAGCUAGUAAGAUCCCUGAAAGAUGAUCAGGUUGAUAGGUUCGAGGUGGAAGCAUGGUGACAUGUGGAGCUGACGAAUACUAAUAGAUCGAGGACUUAACCAU